GCUUGUCAGGAGGCAGUGCAGUAAUGACUGUGCCUCUGCAGAUGGGACCCAGGAGCACAAGGUUGUCAGAAGACUUCCUCUCCAACAAGAAGGAGAGAAAAUUAAAAGAAAGAACUAAGAAAGAGCAAAGAAAAAGGAGAAAUGGCUUAAGAAAGUGUCAUUCACACGUGCAGCCCAUAGAUGUUACAAAACCCAGUUUUCUCACUGGAUUAGUUUCCACUAUGGCUACAAACAGCAUCUUCUACAACAGGGACCAGAACUCUCUUGGAACCAGGAGCCAGCACUUGGAAUCCUGACUUUGCCAGAUUGUGGCUUCUUUUCCAUUUCUUGCCUCCUUAUACAAAAAUAGUAAAUAUAUAAUGCAUAACAUCACGGAAAACAAGGAGCUCUUUCUAUUCCCUU